rnacentral:rRNA from 1 species
UACGGGGGGGGCAAGCGUUGUUCGGAAUUACUGGGCGUAAAGAGCUCGUAGGCGGCUUGUCACGUCGACUGUGAAAACCCGAGGCUCAACUUCGGGCCUGCAUUCGAUACGGGCAGACUAGAGUUCGGUAGGGGAGUCUGGAAUUCCUGGUGUAGCGGUGAAAUGCGCAGAUAUCAGGAGGAACACCGGUGGCGAAGGCGGCUCUCUGGGACGGUACUGACGCUGAGACGCGAAAGCGUGGGGAGCGAACAGG